CGCCUUGCCAGCCCGCCUCAGAACUUAAAGGAAUUAGACGGGGGCCCGGCACAAGCGGUGGAGGCAUGUGGUUUAAUUUCGAAGCAACGCGAAGAACCUUACCAGGCCUUGACAUGCAGAGAACUUUCCAGAGAUGGAUUGGUGCCUUCGGGAACUCUGACACAGGUGCUGCAUGGCUGUCGUCAGCUCGUGUCGUGAGAUGGUUGGGUUAACGUCCCGUAACGAGCGCAACCCUUGUCCUUAGUUACCAGCACGUUAUGGUGGGCACUCUAAGGAGACUGCCGGUGACAAACCGGAGGAAGGUGGGGAUGACGUCAAGUCAUCAUGGCCCUUACGGCCUGGGCUACACACGUGCUACAAUGGUCGGUACAAAGGGUUGCCAAGCCGCGAGGUGGAGCUAAUCCCAUAAAACCGAUCGUAGUCCGGAUCGCAGUCUGCAACUCGACUGCGUGAAGUCGGAAUCGCUAGUAAUCGUGAAUCAGAAUGUCACGGUGAAUACGUUCCCGGGCCUU
rnacentral:rRNA from 1 species